rnacentral:rRNA from 1 species
CACGUAGGGCGCAAGCGUUGUCCGGAAUUAUUGGGCGUAAAGAGCUCGUAGGCGGUCCGUCACGUCCGCUGUGAAAACCCAGGGCUCAACCCUGGGCUUGCAGUGGAUACGGGCAGACUAGAGGUAGGUAGGGGAGAAAGGAAUUCCCGGUGUAGCGGUGAAAUGCGCAGAUAUCGGGAGGAACACCGGUGGCGAAGGCGGUUCUCUGGGCCUUACCUGACGCUGAGGAGCGAAAGCGUGGGGAGCGAACAGG